rnacentral:lncRNA from 1 species
GUCUCACUGACUUCAAGAAUGAAGCCGCGGACCCUCGCAGUAAAUAGGUUCAUCACUGUGAAGAUUUCUGGACAUUCUGCCACCACCUUGGUCUACAAGUGGCAUUCCCAAAGCCUGAAGCUAUCUUUGGCACCUGUAAAACGCCAGCCUUUCCCUCCAUGCCUACCCAAAGUGGUAGGUCCAGAGAUGUCUUGAUCAUCU